AUCCAGACUCCUACGGGAGGCAGCAGUGGGGAAUAUUGCACAAUGGGGGAAACCCUGAUGCAGCGACGCCGCGUGAGUGAAGAAGUAUUUCGGUAUGUAAAGCUCUAUCAGCAGGGAAGAAGUUGACGGUACCUGAGUAAGAAGCCCCGGCUAACUACGUGCCAGCAGCCGCGGUAAUACGUAGGGGGCAAGCGUUAUCCGGAUUUACUGGGUGUAAAGGGAGCGUAGACGGCAGUGCAAGUCUGAAGUGAAAGCCCCGGGCUUAACCCGGGAACUGCUUUGGAAACUGUACGGCUGGAGUGCUGGAGAGGUAAGCGGAAUUCCUAGUGUAGCGGUGAAAUGCGUAGAUAUUAGGAGGAACACCAGUGGCGAAGGCGGCUUACUGGACAGUAACUGACGUUGAGGCUCGAAAGCGUGGGGAGCAAACAGGAUUAGAUACCCCGGUACAG
rnacentral:rRNA from 1 species